AUUAGCCCCCCGAAGUCUCAAGAACCACACACACGCAGACAGCAGCGGAGAAGCCCACGCCGCCGUCCCUGCUCUCUCUCCUCUCCUCUCCAAUGGCCGCCGCCUCCACCUCUCUUCUUCAAUCCCUCUUCUCUCCCUUCCCAUUCCCUAGUCGGAUGCUCACCUCCUCCUCCAUCUCCGGCCGAUGCCCCGCCGCGCUCCUCGUCCGUCGCCCGCAUCGGACGGCUCGAAACCCUCCCUCGCACGUCACCGGCGUGCGGAGGAGGAGGAGCGGAGGCCAUGCUCGUGCCGCCUAUGUCUCCGCCCCUGCAGCCGACCCCGAUCCCGUCGCCAAGGAUGAAAGUCCCGCGGCGGACGUCUUGUCCCUGCCGCCUGUUGCCAUUAGCUGGAGCGUCAUCUGGUCUCUCCUCUCCCGUCACAAGAUUCGGAUGGCCGUCUCGCUCGCCUCUCUAGUUGGAUGCACUUCUUGUACCCUCGCGAUGCCUAUCUUCUCUGGGAAGUUCUUUCAGACACUUACAGGGACAGUUUCUGAGCCUUUAUGGAGACUUCUAUCUCAGAUUGCCUUUUUGUAUUCUUUGGAACCCAUCUUUACUAUAAUCUUCGUCACCAACAUGACCAUUAUAUGGGAGUCUGUGAUGGCAAAUCUAAGAGGCCAGAUAUUUAGACAGAUAUUGAUUCAAAAGGUGGAGUUUUUUGACCGUCAUAAGGUUGGUGAAUUGACUGGGUUGUUGACAUCUGACUUGGGUUCUUUAAAGGAUAUUGUCAAUGAGAAUAUUUCAAGAGAUCGUGGUCUGAGAGCACUCUCUGAGGUUGUUGGUACGAUAUGCAUACUUUUCACACUCUCGACACAGUUGGCUCCUAUCUUAGCGUUGCUGAUGGUGGUUAUAUCUGUUUUAGUAGCUGUGUUUAAGCGGUCAACUGUUCCUGUCUUUAUAUCUCAUGGAAUGGUGCAAGCGAGCAUAUCAGACUGUGCAACUGAAACAUUUUCUGCAAUUCGUACUGUUAGAUCUUUUGCUGGUGAGAAGCGACAGUUCUCCAUCUUCAGAAAUUUGGUACUUGCUUACCAGAACAAUGGCAUAAAACUUGGUACUUUGAAGUCUGCAAAUGAGUCCUUGACAAGGACAGUAGUCUACAUUUCUCUGAUGGCACUUUAUUGUCUUGGUGGAAGCAAAGUCAAGGCGGGUGAACUGUCUGUUGGAACUAUGGUUUCUUUUAUUGGUUACACUUUCACGCUAACUUUUGCGGUUCAAGGGGGUGUCAACACUCUCGGUGAUCUCCGCCGGACUUUUGCUGCUGCUGAAAGAAUUAAUUCUAUUCUUUCUCCAGCGGAAAUUGACAUGUCACUUGCAUAUGGUUUAGAGAAAGAACUCCAAACAACUGAAGUAGAUAUCAAUCUUGGUUUGAAUCAUGAAGACGUUUAUCAUAAGAAGAAACAAAGCAAGCAUUACAUGUUAGCACUGAGAUCAGCAAGUGAUGGGUGUAAUCUAGCUUGGUCAGGUGACAUCUGUCUAGAAGAUAUAUACUUCUCUUAUCCUUUAAGGUCUGAUGUGGAGGUCUUGAGUGGUCUGAAUCUGACCCUCGAAUGUGGAAAGAUAACAGCACUAGUGGGACCCAGUGGUGCUGGAAAAAGUACAAUAGUACAACUUCUGGCACGCUUUUAUGAGCCAACCGGGGGUCGGAUCACUGUAGCAGGAGAAGAUAUCAGAACUUUUGAUAGGAGGGAAUGGGCCCGGGUUGUGUCUCUAGUGAAUCAGGAACCAGUUCUAUUUUCAGUAUCAAUUGGAGAAAAUAUUGCAUAUGGGCUUCCUGAUGAGACUGUCUCCAAGGAUGAUAUAAUUAAGGCAGCUAAAGCUGCCAAUGCUCAUGAAUUCAUAAUCUCACUUCCUCAGGGUUAUGACACACUAGUUGGUGAACGUGGAAGCCUAUUAAGUGGUGGACAGAGACAGAGGAUUGCUAUAGCACGAGCUCUUCUUAAGAAUGCUCCAAUUUUAAUACUUGAUGAGGCCACCAGUGCUCUGGAUGCAACUAGUGAGUCCCUAGUGCAGCAGGCUCUCGAUCACUUGAUGAAAGGAAGGACAUCCUUGGUGAUUGCCCAUAGAUUAAGUACUGUACAAAAUGCAAAUCAAAUUGCUCUUUGCUCAGGCGGUAGGAUAGCAGAACUAGGAACCCACCUUGAGUUGUUGGCAAAGAAAGGUCAAUACGCCUCAUUGGUUGGAACACAGCGCCUUGCGUUUGAAUGAGUGUCUCAUAUUUCUGUCAGAUAUACAACGUAGCCGUCUAGCAACUUGUGCAAGCAAACAAGAAUCGGGUUUUGAUUCAUGCUGGAACUUGUUAGUGGAAAGAUCUGCUUCUAUCACCAAAUCAUGGAAGGAUAGUUGGGUGUCUGCACAUUUGCAAACAGAAGGAUAAGUAUAAGAAAUUUGAUGAAUGUUGUCGCCAUAUACGAAUCUGCGUUAUCCUAAAUGGAUUGCUGUUAAGAUGAGCAGGCAGUGUACAUGAGGCUCACCAAGAUCAAACCCACAGUAGUAGUUCGAUCAUUUACCGUCAAAAUGGAAAAUAGAAGUUGAUGGAGGCAUUCGUCCACUGUCCGUAGACAGUAGCAAUCUUAGCCGUUCAAAUCUAUGCAACAAUCUUGAUCGUCCUUUUGCAGUGAGUUGACUAAUGGCGAAAUCAGUGCUGUCUAUGAAAAAGCAACCUCGACUCAUACAUACUUCGAUCACAAUCAUUGUCCUUUUGGGCUCGAUCUUUUGUGCAACCGAACGAGCCUCUUUCAUGGUUUUCCAUCGUUCGGGACCACGGCCGUCAACCAAUGAGAGGAGUUCCUUUCCUGUUCGGUGGCGCGAUCGAGACACAGUUAUUGCACGCUCAGGAUGGGUGGGCAACAUUUCUCUUUCGUUUGGCGCAGACGCAAGCUGAUAGGGGAACUCAACGCUCACCAUCAGGCGCUUAACGGGUCCGAUGGGUGGACGAUCCGGCGCCGCUCGUUCCCGGAUCCGUGGACCCGAACGAUGGUCUCCGAACCUAACGGUUUACCUACCGAUGGCGACGACCCUGAAGCCGCCCUUCGUUCGAGACCUUUUUUCCCACUUUCUUUUCCUUCCUUUCGUCUUUCUUUUAUUCCCCCGCCUCCGUCUCGCUCGAAACCCUCGUCCCUCCCUCUCCCCCGCAUGCCUCUGUAGUGUUCCAAGAUCCCCUCCUGCUCCCCCCCCCCGAUCCCGGCAGAUCGCCGAAACCCCCGAUUUCAUGGCCGCCGCGCUCGAUCCAGCGCGGGGAGCGCUUGGGCUGUUGGUUCUUUUCGCCCUGAUUUCGCCCUUGGCUAGGGUCGGUGUGUUCUCCAGGCCGGACAAGGAGACGAGAGAGAAGUUCUACGGGAAUCUGGUGAAGGGGGAGUCUCGCAAUAGCUCUGGCGAGGGGAGCAUCGCUGAGAUCUUCGAUCGCGUGCUCGAGAAGGAGUUCUCCGAAAAUGACGCGCCCGAAGAAAGGAGACAGACAGAGAUGGGUGAGAGAGGCUAGACGAGUAAGGGGGAAGAAGAAAAAGAUACAGGAGCAAAUAGAAGGAAAGAGAAUGAUGCAGCGGCAAGGGGAAAAAGGAGAUGCUGAGAGUUUUUUUUUGUAGAAAAUUGUCCUGAUCAAAGUAGCUUCAACAACUCUGUGGCGGAUCAUCAAGUAGGCAGUUCUGGAGACCGUUGCUAUAAUUACUCAUGACAAGUCAAAGAAAAAUGACACACACGAAGCGAA